AGCGAACGCUGGCGGCAGGCUUAACACAUGCAAGUCGAGCGGGCCCUUCGGGGUCAGCGGCGGACGGGGGAGUAACGCGUGGGAACGUGCCUUCUGGUCUGGAAUAACCCUGGGAAACUAGGGCUAAUACCGGAUACGCCCUUUUGGGGAAAGGUUUACUGCCGGAAGAUCGGCCCGCGUCUGAUUAGCUAGUUGGUGGGGUAACGGCCUACCAAGGCGACGAUCAGUAGCUGGUCUGAGAGGAUGAUCAGCCACACUGGGACUGAGACACGGCCCAGACUCCUACGGGAGGUAGCAGUGGGGAAUAUUGGACAAUGGGCGCAAGCCUGAUCCAGCCAUGCCGCGUGAGUGAUGAAGGCCUUAGGGUUGUAAAGCUCUUUUAUCCGGGACGAUAAUGACGGUACCGGAGGAAUAAGCCCCGGCUAACUUCGUG
rnacentral:rRNA from 1 species